rnacentral:rRNA from 1 species
ACGGAAGGCAGCAGUGGGGAAUAUUGGGCAAUGGGGGAAACUCUGACCCAGCAACGCCGCGUGAAGGAAGAAGGCCUUCGGGUUGUAAACUUCUUUUACCAGGGACGAAAACUGACGGUACCUGGAGAAAAAGCAACGGCUAACUACGUGCCGGCAGCCGCGGUAAUACGUAGGUUGCAAGCGUUGUCCGGAUUUACUGGGUGUAAAGGGCGUGUAGGCGGAGCUGCAAGUCAGAUGUGAAAUCCCGGGGCUCAACCCCGGAACUGCAUUUGAAACUGUAGCCCUUGAGUAUCGGAGAGGCAAGCGGAAUUCCUAGUGUAGCGGUGAAAUGCGUAGAUAUUAGGAGGAACGCCAGUGGCGAAGGCGGCUUGCUGGACGACAACUGGCGCUGAGGCGCGAAAGCGUGGGGAGCAAACAGGAUUAGAUACCCUGGUA